AUACGGAGGGUGCGAGCGUUAAUCGGAAUUACUGGGCGUAAAGCGUGCGUAGGCGGUUUGUUAAGUCAGAAGUGAAAGCCCUGGGCUCAACCUGGGAACGGCUUUUGAGACUGGCAGACUCGAGUUGAGUAGAGGGGAGUGGAAUUUCCGGUGUAGCGGUGAAAUGCGUAGAGAUCGGAAGGAACACCAGUGGCGAAGGCGACUCCCUGGACUCAAACUGACGCUGAGGUACGAAAGCGUGGGUAGCAAACAGGAUUAGAUACCCUAGUAGUCC
rnacentral:rRNA from 1 species